rnacentral:rRNA from 1 species
ACCUACGGGACGCAGCAGUGGGGAAUAUUGCACAAUGGAGGGAACUCUGAUGCAGCGACGCCGCGUGAGUGAAGAAGUAAUUCGUUAUGUAAAGCUCUAUCCGCAGGGAAGAAAGUGACGGUACCUGAAAAAGAAGCUCCGGCUAAAUACGUGCCAGCAGCCGCGGUAAUACGUAUGGAGCAAGCGUUAUCCGGAUUUACUGGGUGUAAAGGGAGCGUAGGUGGCAUGGUAAGCCAGAAGUGAAAACCCAGGGCUCAACUCUGUGGAUUGCUUUUGGAACUAUCAAGCUAGAGUGCCGGAGGGGG